UCCAAAGUUCCAAACAAGGCAACAAACAUGUUCUCAAGGCCAAACACAUACUGUGCCUUCUUCUCCGACGACUCACGACUGUGCCUUCUCCUUCUGGUUAACUCCGCCGCCGUCCACGACUACACCUUCUCGUUGACUCUGCCAUCGCCCUCUUCUUUGCUCCUCGCAUUCUAGAGUUUCACUUCGCGGUAGGAUCUUCGACGGAGCUUCCAUCUUUCGCUCACGAUCGCCAGUUCGGCAUCUGCGGCCACUGCUAUGCUCCCUUUCUCCUCCACCCGCAUUGUCGACGCCCAAUCGCGGCUGCCCAUCUCGGCCGGCGAUAGGCAACUUGGUUUCACGACUCGCAAGCUUGCGUUCGUCGCAAGAGCGGCCGAUUCCACCGAGCCCACGUCCUCUGGCAAGGCGAUUAUCCCCGGCGAUGAGUCCUCUCUAGCCAAGAUUGCAGUCUAUGCAUUUCUGGAAUGGUCAACUCGGAUACGAAGGCUGAUAGCUGUGUUUUAACUGGUGAUGCUGAGACGAAGGCAGUGAAACGGUAAGCAAUGUCUUCAUAUAUUCAAGAAGCAAUUUUAGCUAUAUCUAAUUAUUCUCCGAUAUAUUAGCUUUUAAACACCCUUGGUGAUUGAAAGUCUGUAAUCUUUUUUACAUUCUUUCAUGCUCUAGAAUUCCGGAUUCCUCAUUUUUGUUAGCUACAUCUGCAAAUUUAUAUAUCCCUCAUGUUUGCAUAUGUAGUCAAUGGAAAAGCUCAGCCAAAAUUCCUUAAAUUCUCCAGCCAUAUGUUCACGGGCUUAGUAUGCAUGGUUUUUAUUCUUUAGCUAAGUGCUUUCUUGAGCUAAAAUACAUUAAUUUCUUCCAAGAGUGUAUAUUAAUAAUGUAUGUCAAGGCACUUCAAUGAGGAGAGUUAUGAAUUUAUUUAAGGACGCUCUUGCGUAUUUUCAAGUGCAUCUGAUUUUUCUAGGAUUUUAAUAAUUGUGUGGAAAUUGAAAGCUGAUCUAGUUAGGAAAACAGUUGUCUCCAGUUUUGGUUACUUUUGUAGUUGUUACUAUGAAUAAUGGAAUAUGAAUGUGCUGAGCUUGCAUAUCCAUUGUUUGUAACAGCAAGUUGAGCAUUCUUUCGAAUCUUGGAGCUUCUUUGGCAUUGUCAUGCUAAGAGUGCUCGAAUUUUAUUAGAUACAUAGCAACCUCUUUUGUUGACUAUGAUAAGAUAUAAUAUCCCGGCCUUCUGAAAAUGGUUUCCUAUGCACGUGUUGUAUUGGACUUAUUAACCAUAACCUAGCGGCAGGGCUGUGACAUUGCCUUCCUUUAAGGUGCACAUAGACCCAUAGGUAUUCUUGACUGAUCUAAAAUUUUCUCAGGUAAACAAUUAUGUUCUUAUCAAGUGACUUUUCGAGGGCAUCAUCUUUUAUGUGUUUGUUGAGAUGCAACCUUUCCUAUGCAGCAUGGCUGGACAAAGACUUUGUGUCCACUGCAUUGUUUUAUUUUGUUUUACAUAAUUUUUGGAUAGCUUUUCCACUUCAUCGUAACCAACCAAGAGAUUAUAAAAAGUAGAGUUCUACUAAACUCCAGUACUUUUAUGUGUCCACUGCGUUUUUUAUUUUGUUUUAUUAUAAUUUUUGGCUGCACAAAUGAUUGCCUAGUUGUCACAGACAAAGUAUGAGAAUGCUUUUACUAUACAACAAGCAUUAAGUUGUGCAAUUUAUUUAAGGAAGUAGAUGUAAAAUCUUGUUUCGCAUCACCCUUCACAUUCACUCUAAGUCAUCAAUUUUGUGAUCCCUUUAAUCGUUUGUUUCGGGUUUCUGUUUUUUUUUUUUUUUUUUUUCAUGCUAAUUCUGUUGUUGGGUCUUUGAAGAUUUUCUGAGCUAAUAUUACCAAGGGCAAAAUGAGAAAAAUUGUGUUGAAUCAGAGGUAAAAAUUGACCAUGUGUUUCAAUCUAGCAAAGAAAUAGUAAUGCUUGUAAUAUGCAACAAAGGAUGGUCUUUGUUCCACCUCUCUUCUUUUGAACUAUUGCAUGCUGAAGCUAAACCCAUGAUUUCUGAGUUGAUAUUACCAGGGGCUGUAUGCUUGAAUGCCUCAUACUCUAAUUGGUUUUUUUUUUUUUUAUGCCUUCCUAAGGCUAAUUAAGGGUUUGGCUUACUAUAAGUUAUUGAAAUAAUAAUUUGCAGGCUCUAAUUGUUAUAAAUAGAAGAAUUGCUAGAUGUCUUCAACGGGUGAUUCUAAUGUCCCAAAUAAAAGGAGGAGAUCUACAAUUUGGAACAUUUUAAAGAUUCCUGGUCAAGAAAAAGACUGAGUGUUUAUAUCGUGGCAUGCUAGUGGUCAAUGGACUAGCUCAAUGAAUCAUCAUCUAGCUAGAUUUAAGGAAUAUCCAUAUGCAGACAUAGGAAAAAGGCAAAAAAGUGCCUCGGUCAAGUUGUUGGGGAUGAUAGUUUGUCAGGUCCUUGGAAAUUUGAUCAGGAUGCUAGCAGAAAAGAUUUAGCAAUCAUGUUUAUUCUUAGUGAGUUGCCAUUUAAGUUGGUAGAGCAUGAGGGAUUUCAUCGAUUUGUGAAUAGAAUCCAACCAAAAUUCUUGAUCUCAUCAUGCAACACAUUAAGGCACAAUUGUUAUGAUUUAUACAUGGAGGAAGUAAAUUGAAGAAAUAUUUUUCUGAGACAUCUCUUAGAGUAUGUCUAACAAUUAAUACAUGGACAUCUCGUCAAAAUUUAAGUUAUAUGUGUCUGACUACUCAUUUUGUUGAUGUCGAUUGGAAAUUGCAAAAGAAGAUAUUAAAUUUUUGUCAGAUUCCGAGUCAUUCUGUUGAGAUAAUAGGAAAAGCAAUUGAGAAAUGUUUAAAUGAUUAGGAGAUUCAUAGUGUUUUUUUUUCUAUCACUGUGGAUAAUGCUAGCUCGAAUGACUUGGGAGUUCAUUAUCUAAAAAUGAUACUUAACUCUUGGAACUCUCUAUUAGUGAGAGGUGAAUUGCUUCACGUGAGGUGUUGUGCUCAUAUAUUAAGUUUGAUUGUAAGAGAGAGGUUAAAAGUAUAAACGAUUCAAUUGCUAGAAUAAGUUCAGCUGUGCGCUACGUGAGAUCUUUCUCUGGUAGGUUAAAAAAGUUCAAGGGUUUUGUUAAGUUAGUAAAAAUUGAGUCGAAGAGUUUUGUAUGCUUGGAUGUGGAAACUUUUGGAACUCGACAUGCAUGAUGUUGGAAUCAGCUUUAAAGUUUGAAAUAGCUUUUAGUAAUAUGGAACUUCAGAAUAGCAAAUAUGUCCAAGAGCUUUCCAAGGGGAAAUGGUUGUCCACUAGUGAGGAUUUGAAUUAUGCAUGUCACUUUCUUUCUUUUCUGAAGUUAUUUUUUGAUAAAACUAUACAAAUUUCAGGUUUUUCUUAUAUCACUAGCAAUAAUAUGAUAAAGGACAUGUAUGAGAUUCAUACGAUGAUUGAGAGAUAUUGUGGAAAUGAGGACCAAAGCUUGCGGGAAAUGGCUUAGAGAAUGAAAAUGAAAUUCCGUGAGUAUUUUGGCAAGGUGAACAAUACAAAUCUCACUUCAUUUAUUGCUUGCGUAUUUGACCCGCGACAUAAGUGGGACUACGUGAAAUCAUGUUUAUGAAAGCAAGCGGGUAGGAACUUUACAAGAAAAAAAGUUAUAACAUCUCUGACAUUAUUGUUUGAGUAAUAUCGCACGGGUGUAUGCCUUUAAAGCAACUUGAGGCUAAAAAGCACAAUGAUGGUAAGCAUGUAAAAAUCCCAGUGGUUGGUGCUGAUAUCACGACUAAAAUGUAUUUUAGCCAAACCAAACAACAAUAUUUGGAUGAAUUGGACAAGUACUUUGAGGAAGCAUGUGAACGUUAUAACUCUAAAUUUGAUAUUUUAAGUUGGUGGAAAGGAAAUUCAUCAAGAUAUCAUAUCCUUUCUACCGUUGCUCGAGAUAUCUUAGCCAUGCCCGUCUCGACUGUAGCAUUGGAGGCUAUAUUUAGCACAGGAGGUCGUGUUCCUUGACCCCAACCGUGGCGAAGGCUCUUAUAUGUGCUCAAGAUUGGUUACGAUCGGCGCCACUUUCACAUUUGAUUGAGGAGGACUUAGAAGACCUUGAAAUCUGUGAGUUGAGUGAGAAAAUAUGGUUGUAGAAUAUUUAUACCUUUCUUUAUUUUAAUGUAUACAUUAAUUCUCAUUUUCGUCGUGUAUUUAUUAUAGAGUUGCCAAAUACAACCACGGAGUCAAACUCGAUAUUGACUUCUCUCGAUGAUUGACGUAUUGGAGGCUAGUACUUGAUAAAUAAAGAAAAUGAAGUUAAGUUUUGCAGCAUUCUCUAUUAUUGAAGCUAAGCUCGAAAUGAGUCUUGAAAUGAUCAUCUUCUUUGCUUUUAGUUAUAGAAGUGACCGUCCAUGAAAAUUUAGGGAUUUGUUAGGCAAUCAGCUCACUGGCUCUAUACCAAACAGACUAGCUUCUUCAAAUAUGCAACUUGUGUUAUUGAAUGAUAACUUAUUGGAAGGGAAGGUUCCUGAGGACUCUAUUCAAUUGGUGUCCAUGGAGGAUCUAUAGAUUAGGUUGUUCUCAUGGAGGAUCUAUAGAGUAGGUUAUCCUCAUUCACUCGUUUUGUUGAAUUUCACUUUUAUUGAACUUAGUAGAGACAAUGUACUGCGAUGCUUCAAAAUUUGGUUGAGUUGAUCCAUUAAAACUAGCCGAGAAA